CAACGCUGCCGACUCCGCGAUCCGGUGAAACUAGUUUAACAGCCUCUCCACUGGACACUGUUCUUCCCCUCCCAUCUCCGUCCCGCGCGCUCCACUGUCCUGUUACCGCCUUGUCGCCCCCACCGCCAUCGUUGCCGCUGCGCCUCCAUUAUUGCCGUGACCCUCGCUAGUUGUUGGUGCAAGAUGGAAGGUAGUCAACCUAAAUUCCACCAAGAAUCCACUGCUCAUGCUUUGGUAGAUGGUUUUGGUACCAAUGAUGGGAAUGCCUACACUCACGAUCGAAAUUCAAUCUCACAAGAUGCUGCAACUAGUGUGGUUUAUGAAGCCAAAGCUGAUGCUGCUACUCCUGGGCAUAGUGAAGGUGUUGUCACUGAUGAAAACAUGGCUAGUAUCUCGCAGAACAUGGCUGGUUAUGAUUCCAUUGACAGAAGCACCAGCGAAAUGACAAAUUAUCAAUCUACUGGGGCUGUCAUGAAUGGAAGUGUCUAAUGAGACAGGUGGAGCCGUUGUUGAGCAAGCAUAUGAUGAUGUUACUGAGAUUUUACCCUUUUGAUUAUUUAAUAUUCAUUCUCUUAGAAAUAUAAUUUUUAGAAUUUUUUCUUUCCACUUUUUUCUAUUCUCUAAUUUCUAUGUUGUUGUUUCUAAUAUAGUUUUAUUAAUCCUUUCUCUUUUUUUAUAGUUUUAUUUAAUAUUCAUUCUCUCAGAAAUAUAAUUUUUAGAAUUUUUUCUUUCCACUUUUUUCUAUUCUCUAAUUUCUAUGUUGUUGUUUAUAGUGGAACAUGGUUAGAGCAAAUUUCUUAGAUUUCAAUGCUUGGACAGCACUUAUUGAAGAAACAGAAAAAGUUGCUCAGGCUUAUCCACAACCAAGUUAUGCCCAGCCAGCAGCCACCCCAGUAGCACCAGCAUUUCCUUCCCAACCAGCACCAUCUGCUCAACCAUAUUAUGGAAGUUACUAUUAAUGUAGCUGAUCAUUUGGGACAACUGACGCUUAGCAAGCUGGGUUACGACCUGUUUGUUUCCUUGGCUGUUAUCAUUUCAGAUUAUGAUAUUCAUGUUUCUUCUUUCAAGAUACACCAAUGCUUAUAAAUGAUGAAGGGCUGAUCAGGUUCUAAUGUUAUGCAAUGAUGAUAUUGGUGACAGGUGGGCUGUGCUAGAUCUCAGAGUGUUUCCGACUCUUUUCCUGCCUUGUUCCCACACAUUCAGUUCUACAAUCAGCCUGCUUGUGGAUUAUUUUUUUUUCCAACCUGGAGAUCCAAAUGAGGGCAUUGAUAUAGACAAGGUAAUAGUCAUUUUCACUUGGGGAAAAUCUAAAUAUGUGGUCUGGAAUCUGCUGUUAUCCUAAGAGAAGAUUUUGA